ACUCCUACGGGAGGCAGCAGUAGGGAAUCUUCCACAAUGGACGAAAGUACUGAUGGAGCAACGCCGCGUGAGUGAAGAAGGGUUUCGGCUCGUAAAACUACUGUUGUUAAAGAAGAACAUAUCUGAGAGUAACUGUUCAGGUAUUGACGGUAUUUAACCAGAAAGCCACGGCUAACUACGUGCCAGCAGCCGCGGUAAUACGUAGGUGGCAAGCGUUGUCCGGAUUUAUUGGGGCGUAAAGCGAGCGCAGGCGGUUUUUAAGUCUGAUGUGAAAGCCUUCGGCUCAACCGAAGAAGUGCAUCGGAAACUGGGAAACUUGAGUGCAGAAGAGGACAGUGGAACUCCAUGUGUAGCGGUGAAAUGCGUAGAUAUAUGGAAGAACACCAGUGGCGAAGGCGGCUGUCUGGUCUGUAACUGACGCUGAGGCUCGAAAGUAUGGGUAGCAAACAGGAUUAGAUACCCUGGUAGGAUAGCG
rnacentral:rRNA from 1 species